GAUGAAGAACGCAGCGAAAUGCGAUACGUAAUGUGAAUUGCAAAUUCAGUGAAUCAUCGAGUCUUUGAACGCACAUUGCGCCCCCUGGUAUUCCGGGGGGCAUGCCUGUCCGAGCGUCAUUGCUGCCCUCAAGCACGGCUUGUGUGUUGGGCCCCGUCCUCCGAUCCCGGGGGACGGGCCCGAAAGGCAGCGGCGGCACCGCGUCCGGUCCUCGAGCGUAUGGGGCUUUGUCACCCGCUCUGUAGGCCCGGCCGUCGCUUGCCGAUCAACCCAAAUUUUUAUCCAGGUUGACCUCGGAUCAGGUAGGGAUACCCGCUGAACUUAAGCAUAUCAAUAAGCGGAGGA
rnacentral:misc_RNA from 1 species